rnacentral:rRNA from 1 species
GACGAACCGUGCGAACGUUGUUCGGAAUCACUGGGCUUAAAGGGCGCGUAGGCGGACCAUCAAGUCCGGGGUGAAAUCCUCCGGCUUAACCGGAGAAUUGCCUGGGAUACUGGUGGUCUUGAGGGAGGUAGGGGCACGCGGAACUUCCGGUGGAGCGGUGAAAUGCGUUGAUAUCGGAAGGAACGCCGGUGGCGAAGGCGGUCUGCUGGGGUCGAACUGACGCUGAGGCGCGACAGCGUGGGGAGCAAACAGG